UGAUAGAGUCCAAGAGAAUGAAGGAUAUCCACAUCAGCAAUUGAUUCACUCAACACAGAAUGGAGUCAGACCUUUUCUGGUUUAUACUAGGAGGAAGGGUAGAAAGGUCUUUGGUGGCUAAGGUUGUUAGCAAGGGGCGACGUGUCAUAGAAAGAGAGCAAUCCAGCGCAUUUGUUUCGAAGAUAUAAGGAGGGGAGAGAGACUGAUAUGGGUACGGGGAGAUUUUGGCUGUUAGCUAAGAUUGGAUAGAAGGUUGUAUCAACCUUCUAGAAGGGCUAGGCCUGUGUCAAAUCUGAGGAAUAUAUUUCCUUAUCUGUAACCUUCAACCAUUAUCAAAUAAUAAAGCUCUCUUUAUACUCACAAUCUACUAUUUCUAUUAUAAUCACUGUUAUAUUGAAUUGCUGUAUUUCUGGUACGCAUCAAAUUGGUCCGACCUGCCGGAUAUACAUCGUCGGAGAAACCAGUGAAUGCCGGCUAGGAAAAUCACGAUAGCAGCAUUUACAAGAAUGGAAGCACGUGUGAACGCGUUGGAAGGUGAGAUCUCGGUGGUGCGAUCUUCCUUGGUGAGUUUCCAGGAAGAAGUAAAGGAGAAUCACGCGAAUCUGAUCGCGAUGUUGGAGAAACAUUUCGGAAAAUCGCUGGAUGAUGAAGGGACUGGAAGUGCGGUAAGCAAGAACAAGGAGACACCAGAAAAGAAGACGGAAACUCCAAAAGGGUCACACGCUGAUAAGAUGAAUGAAUUUCAUCAAUCGGCGAAGAAGGUGGAGUUACCUUCGUUUGAAGGAGAAGACCCCGCCGGCUGGAUUUCGCGAGCUGAAGUUUACUUCCGAGUACAGAACACCACGCCAGAAGUGAAGGUGAGCUUGGCCCAACUUUGUAUGGACGGACCCACCAUACAUUUCUUCAACUCCCUCAUCGGAGAAGAUGAAGAUCUGACUUGGGAAUCGUUGAAAAUAGCGUUACUCGAGAGAUACGGUGGUCAUGGCGACGGAGACGUGUACGAACAGCUCACAGAGUUGAAACAGGAGGGAUCGGUAGAGGACUAUAUCACAGAAUUUGAGUAUUUAAUCGCUCAGAUUCCGCGAUUACCAGAGAAGCAAUUCCAGGGUUACUUCCUCCAUGGUUUGCAAUCGGAGAUUAGGGGAAGGGUUCGCACUUUGGCAACAAUGGGAGAAAUGAGUAGAACGAAGCUGUUACAAGUGACUCGGGCAGUAGAGAAAGAGGUCAAGGGUGGAAAUGGAUCUGGAUUUGGGCGUGGGCCUAAAAAUGGGCCUUAUCGGUCCAAUUCUCAUGGUGGAAACAAAGGAGUAUCAGACUGGGUGAUGGUGAAAAAUAAGGAAGGGGGUGUAAGUAGCAGUAUGAGAAGUGGGCUAAGAGGUGACAAACAGGCCCAAGGAGAUAAUAGACAUAUUGGGCCUCGUGAUAGGGGAUUCACACAUCUCUCUUACAAUGAGCUGAUGGAGAGGAAGAGAAAAGGCUUGUGUUUCAAAUGUAAGAAGCCUUUUAAUCCAGGCCACCAAUGUUCCGAAAAACAUCUUAGGGUGUUAAUAGUGGAUGAUGAAUGUGAAGAGGAUGGAGAGGCUAAGGUCUUGGCUGUUGAAGUAGAAGGAGGGGAGGAAGAUGAGCAAGGAGAGAUGAGUAUGUUGGAUUUACAUCACAUAGCUCAUGAGAACCAUCAAACCAUGAAGUUUCAAGGGAUAAUUAAGGGUGUAGAAGUUCUCAUUUUAGUGGACAGUGGGGCUUCCCAUAAUUUCAUUUCACAAAAGCUAGUUCACCACAUGGAUUGGCCAAUUGAACAGACCCAACAAAUGAAAGUCAAGUUAGGGAAUGGGGUUCAAAUAGAAGCACAGGGGAGGUGUAAGGAGCUAGAGAUGUAUAUUGGCAGUCACAAAUUAAGGCCAAAUCUUCAACUGUUUGAAUUAGGAGGAAUUGAUGUGGUGUUAGGCAUGGAAUGGUUGAAAACUUUGGGAGAUACCAUUAUUAAUUGGAAACAACAUACACUGAGUUUUUGGGAAGAAGGAAGAUGGGUUACUCUUGGCAAUAAGGAGGGGUGCAAAAAUCCCAUGAUAGCAUUACAAAGUAUUGUGGGUAAGCCCAGGCCCAAGAAAGAAGGGGAGGUGUGGAGAAUUGAGGGGGUCGAGCCUAAGGUGGUUUGUGAAUCCAUUAGGACUGAAAGCCCACACCGGGUGUUGGAGGUGGUGUUGGGCGAGUAUGCCAAUGUUUUCCAAACAACUUGUGAAUCUGUGUUGUCAGAAAACCAACACCGGGAGUUGGAGGAGGUGUUAGGUGAGUAUGCACACGUUUUCCAAACGCCUUCGAGCCUACCCCCAAGAAGGAAGAAAGAGCACGCCAUCAAUCUCAUAGAUGGACAUGGAGCAGUGAAUGUUCGUCCGUAUCGUUAUCCUCAUCACCACAAAAAUGAGAUUGAGCGACAAGUCCAGGAGAUGCUUGCUGCCGGUAUCAUUCGCCACAGCACAAGUUCAUUUUCUAGCCCCGUGAUCCUGGUGAAGAAAAAAGACAACACAUGGAGGAUGUGUAUUGAUUACAGAGCACUCAAUAAGGUAACAAUUCCCGAUAAAUUUCCUAUCCUUGUUAUUGAGGAAUUGUUAGAUGAGUUGCAUGGAGCCAAAUUCUUUACGAAGCUAGAUCUCAAAUCAGGCUAUCACCAAGUGAGAGUGAAGGAUUCUGACAUUGAGAAAACAGCGUUUAGAACUCAUGAAGGUCACUAUGAGUUUCUUGUCAUGCCCUUUGGGCUUACAAAUGCCCCUUCAACUUUUCAAAACCUUAUGAAUGAUGUGUUCAGGCCCCUGCUCAGAAAAAGUGUGUUAGUGUUUUUUGAUGACAUCCUCAUAUACAGUCAAGAUUGGGACUCUCAUUUGAGACACGUACGGGAAGUGUUGGGUUUAUUGUCUACUCAUAGUUUGGUAGUAAACAAGAAAAAAUGUAGUUUUGCUCAGCAAACAGUGGAGUAUUUAGGUCAUGUAAUCUCAGAAAAUGGGGUUGCUGUGGAUCCUAGCAAGGUUAUUAGUGUACUUCAAUGGCCUCAACCAAGGAAUGUCAAAGAAGGGGUUAGAGGAUUUUUGGGUCUCACGGGGUACUAUCGAAAGUUUAUCAAAGACUAUGGUAAGGUUGCUAAACCUUUGACAGAAUUAACUAAGAAGGAUGGUUUCAAAUGGGAUGAGAAGACACAGGCAGCUUUUGAUACACUAAAACAGAAGCUCACAACUGCACCAGUUCUGGCUCUUCCAGAUUUUUCUACAAAUUUUGUUAUUGAAUGUGAUGCUUCAGGUACAGGUCUGGGAGCUAUAUUGAUGCAACAGAAAAGACCAGUGGCUUACUUCAGCAAAGCUCUAGGAGUUAGAAACCUGGCCAAGUCAGCAUACGAGAAGGAACUAAUGGCUGUAGUAUUGGCAAUUCAGCAUUGGAGACCGUAUCUCCUAGGAAGGAAGUUUGUAGUGUCCACUGAUCAGAGGAGUUUAAAACAGCUGAUGCAACAGAAAAUAAUGACUGCUGAGCAACAAAAUUGGGCUGCUAAACUAAUGGGGUACGAUUUUGACAUUGUGUAUAAGCAGGGCAAGCUCAACAAGGGGGCUGAUGCACUUUCCAGAGUGUAUGAAGACAGUGAAUUGAGCGCCAUGAGCUCCAUAGCAACCUGGAUACAAGGAGAACAGAUCAAGGCAGAGGUGCAGAGAGAUGGUAAAUUACAGAAAAUCAUUGCUGAAAUCCAAUUAGAUCCUCUAUCAUGGCCAGGAUAUAGUUACAGACAAGGCACACUUCUUUAUGAAGGCAGACUAGUGAUUUCCAACAAAUCACUUCUUAUUCCUACUCUUUUACAAGAAUUUCAUUCUACGCCACAGGGAGGACAUUCGGGUUUUUACAAGACAUAUAGAAGAAUGGCUGCCAAUCUAUAUUGGAUAGGAAUGAAGGGCAUGAUUCAGGAAUUUGUUUUACAAUGUGACACUUGUCAGAGGCAAAAAUAUAUGGCAUCUUCUCCAGGGGGUUUGCUCCAUCCACUCCCUAUACCUGAGCAAAUAUGGGAAGAUAUUUCACUAGAUUUCAUUACAGGCUUACCCAAGUCAAAACAGUUUGAAGCAAUAUUGGUGGUAGUAGACAGACUGUCUAAGUAUGCACAUUUUAUUCCCUUAAAACAUCCCUAUACAGCCAGGAGUAUAGCAGAAAUUUUUUGUAAAGAAAUUGUUAGAUUACAUGGCAUUCCACUUUCAAUUGUGAGUGAUAGGGACCCCAUCUUUGUGAGUAACUUCUGGAGGGAAAUGUUCAAGUUACAGGGAACAAAGCUGAAGAUGAGCACAUCAUACCAUCCGGAAACGGAUGGCCAAACAGAAGUAGUGAAUAGAUGUUUGGAAACAUAUCUGAGGUGCUUUAUUUCUGAUCAGCCAAGGACCUGGGUAACAUGGAUACAUUGGGCUGAAUAUUGGUAUAAUACCACUUACCAUUCAUCGACAGACAAGACACCAUUUGAGGUUGUAUAUGGAAGGCCACCACCACUAUUGACAAGCUGGACACAGGGAGAGACUCGGGUAGCAAGUGUUCAGAAGGAUCUGAUGGACAGAGAUGAGGCUUUGAGACAGUUAAAAACUCAAUUGCUGAAGGCACAAGAGAGAAUGAAGAGCCAGGCAGACAAGAAGAGAGUUGAUAGAAGUUUUAUGUGUGGAGAAUGGGUAUUUGUUAAGCUAAGAGCUCACAGGCAGCAGUCUGUAGUUACCAGAAUCAAUGCCAAACUAGCUGCCAAGUACUAUGGGCCUUAUCCAAUAGUUGAGAGGGUUGGGGGAGUAGCCUACAAACUAAAAUUACCUGAAGGGUCCAGAGUGCACCCUGUAUUCCAUGUCUCCCUAUUGAAGAAGGCUGUGGGUAAUUAUCAAGAGGAUAAGGAACUUCCCGAUUUGUUAGAAGACCCAGUUGAAGCAUGUGAACCUGAGGCUGUACUUGCUAGCAGGAAAAUUAAGCAGCAGGGUGAAGAAGUGAGACAAUUUUUGAUCCAUUGGAAGGGUAAAACUAUGGAAGAAGCUACUUGGGAGGAAGAAUUAAUGAUGAGAAGUCAAUUCCCAAAUUUUGACCUUGAGGACAAGGUCAAUUCUGAAGAAGGAAGUAUUGAUAGAGUCCAAGAGAAUGAAGGAUAUCCACAUCAGCAAUUGAUUCACUCAACACAGAAUGGAGUCAGACCUUUUCUGGUUUAUACUAGGAGGAAGGGUAGAAAGGUCUUUGGUGGCUAAGGUUGUUAGCAAGGGGCGACGUGUCAUAGAAAGAGAGCAAUCCAGCGCAUUUGUUUCGAAGAUAUAAGGAGGGGAGAGAGACUGAUAUGGGUACGGGGAGAUUUUGGCUGUUAGCUAAGAUUGGAUAGAAGGUUGUAUCAACCUUCUAGAAGGGCUAGGCCUGUGUCAGAUCUGAGGAAUAUAUUUCCUUAUCUGUAACCUUCAACCAUUAUCAAAUAAUAAAGCUCUCUUUAUACUCACAAUCUACUAUUUCUAUUAUAAUCACUGUUAUAUUGAAUUGCUGUAUUUCUGGUACGCAUCAAGAACUAUCAUAAAUUAAAUCUUCACAUAAUCAUAGCUGGAACUAUAAAUUAAACUAACAUAUCAUACUAACAUCUUUAGUGAAAUAUGAAUUAUCUAGUGUCCAACCCAUGUGAUGCACGGACAUUAUGUAAUUUGUGUGUCAUCUCAAAUAUAGACGUCUUUUCUGACUACCUGGUUCCCAACCCUUGUUUUCUUUAAUUUAAUAAAUAUUUUCAUUUGGAUUUGGGUUGUCUACAAAAGUACAAAUCCCACCAAAUACGAAAACCGUGAGAUAACUACUCCAAGAAUGGUCUCACGGUUCCUAUUCUACAAAGAGACUUGCAAUUGUCUUCUACAGUGGAUGAUUACCAAUUUACCACAUUUACCUUAAU
rnacentral:lncRNA from 1 species